CGCAACCCUUGUCAUUAGUUGCCAGUCAUUUAGUUGGGCACUCUAAUGAGACUGCCGGUGACAAACCGGAGGAAGGUGGGGAUGACGUCAAGUCCUCAUGGCCCUUAUGGGUAGGGCUUCACACGUCAUACAAUGGUCGGUACAGAGGGUUGCCAAGCCGCGAGGGGGAGCCAAUCCCAUAAAGCCAGUCGUAGUCCGGAUCGUAGUCUGCAACUCGACUACGUGAAGUCGGAAUCGCUAGUAAUCGUGGAUCAGAAUGUCACGGUGAAUACGUUCCCGGGUCUU
rnacentral:rRNA from 1 species